CUUCACUCUUCUUCGAAAUCAUUUGACGUUUGCAAAUGUUGUCAAAGUUCCCAUUUGCCAUCGUACACUUUCUCAAAGCUCACCAAAAAAUGGAGUCUUUGUCCAUACGUCGAUGCUGAAAUAACUUUUUUUUUUGGGUUUGUUUUUGCAACGGUAUCGUUUGGAGAUGACACGCUCCAUGGUUACGAAAUGUGUGGCUUUGUUUUCUCAGUUCAGUGCCUAACCGACAUCCACUUUCACGAGUACUUGACCAGCUGGCGGUUCAAACCUUGCCGCUUGCUGUUUGUUGUCUUUCAUCAAAACGAUCCAAAUGUUUUCAACCAGUUGGCCUCACGCCGUGUCUGGAUUCGGGCCACCCUGCUGGCAUGCUAGCCAUUCCCAAGAAAGAAUGCAAAUGCAAGGACUUGUCAAGUUCUUCAUAAAUUUUUGCCCACCGAAUCAUAAAAUGAACACCUCAGAUUGACUGGAGUUCCCCCCCGUACAGAGUACAAA